UACGAAGGGGGCUAGCGUUGCUCGGAAUUACUGGGCGUAAAGCGCACGUAGGCGGCUCGGUAAGUCCGCUGUGAAAGUCGGGGGCUCAACCCUCGGAUGCCGGUGGAUACUGUCGGACUAGAGUACGGAAGAGGCGAGUGGAAUUCCUGGUGUAGCGGUGAAAUGCGCAGAUAUCAGGAGGAACACCGAUUGCGAAGGCAGCUCGCUGGGACGUUACUGACGCUGAGACGCGAAAGCGUGGGGAGCAAACAGG
rnacentral:rRNA from 1 species